UCCUAAGUUUGAUUAGGAUUACAAUUAUUAAAUUACAAUGAAAAUAAGUUGGUGAAUAAUUUUUUUGAAAAAAUUCAUUCCUAAUUGUCAUGACAUUCUAUAGUAUAAUGCAAAAUUAUGUACCUUACUAUUGUUAGUUCCUACAUUGCAUCACUCUGUUAUAUUUUCCAUCUUGGUGAAGUAUUAGAUUGGGUAUAAUACUACAUUACUACUUAAUUAUAUAGUAUAUUUGUCGUCAUUUAUCAUGACAUGUUAAGUGGGCUAAUAUUGAGCCUCUCUACCUCGCAGUUGUAGUGGUAUUCUCCUAAGGGAGUAGAGAAAUUUCAAGAUUAAAAUCUCUCAUUAGGAUUUUUUUCCCGUUUUCCAUUUGUAACACUUGCCAUGAGGUGACAUGAUUCAAUAACAACUAACUCAGUUACCCUAGUGAAUUCCACACCUGAAGCAUUAGAUGCACUAAACACUUAUGGAUGAUAUAUAGCUUCUUCACAGGAGUAGCGAUUUUCAAGUGGCUGCAACUCAUCGGCAUGCACAAAAGGUAUUUGGCUGUGGAGUUCACCUUUAAGGAGAACAACUCUUGAUGGAAUAGAAUACAACUUAUUAGUGCUGGACACAGAAGGAAUUGAUGCUUAUGAUCAAAUGGGUACAUAUAGCACACAGAUAUUCUCCCUGGCAGUCCUUCUUUCAAGUAUGUUUGUAUAUAACCAGAUGGGAGGUAUCGAUGAAGUUGCGCUUGACUGCCUCACUGAAAUGACUAGGCAUAUUCGUGUUAGAGCCUCUGGAGGAAAGGCCAGUGCUUCUAAGCUUGGGCAGUUCUCCCCAGGCUUCAUUUGGUUGCCUAAAGAUUUUUAUUUGGAUUGGGUCGAGGACAACCACAAAAUAACUCCACAGGACUACCUUUAACUUGCAUUGAAGCCAGUUCAAGGUGGUCAGAAAGAUGUUGCUGCUAAAAACGAGGAAUCUGUCUUUUCUCAAAAUCAAUUCCACAUGUUACAUUAUCUGUUUGCCCAUACUCAGAACUUCACACUAUUUACGCCCAACAACGAUAGAGCUUAGUCUUGAAAUAGUAAGUUCCUUCAUAGCCACAAUAGUUCUCAUCCUUUGAUAAUCAUGUUUUACCAAAUGAAACAUGUCUAACUUCUUAAAAUAUUGUGAUCUUCAGUUCUUCAUUAAGGUUGGGAUAUAGGUCUAGAAUGAAUAUAUUCAUUCACGAAUUGUAUUCAUCAUUACUGCUCUAUGACAGAGAGUAAAUUUUAUAGCACAUUAAUUGAUAUGUAUUUUUUAUAUAUUUAUAUGUUUGAUUCAUGGUAUGAUCUUAUGUGCUUAUUAUAAUAAUAAAAAAUCCUUAUAAGGCAACUAUUGCACAUAGACUAUAAAUUAUUAUUACUUCAACAUGAAUGAAUGUUUGAUUCUAUCAUGAUCCGAGAUUGAAAUAUGAUCAAUGUUAUUUGAUAGAAGAAAUAACUCAUCUCUUUCUCACAUGUAUAUGCAACUGCUCUAUUCAGAUUACAGAAUUCACAGUGAGUUAGCUUGUGAGUUAGUUUCCAAGGAAUUUGCAUGCUAUGUACUUAAAUGAAUAUAAAACUAUUUUUACUUUUCUCUUGGUUUCCUUUCGCUUCAACACUUAGACCUCAUACUGUUGAAGAAUGCAGUCACAACUUCAGUAGAACAUUGGACAAAUUGAAACAUGUCAAUCACCAAGUAUAUCUGACUUGGUUCACUACCAAAUUGUGUGGUCCUUUCUAAUUUAAAGAAUAAGUCUUACUAAUUUUGUUAUGUCCAGGUAAGAAGAUAUCUAUUAUCUCAAGUAGUAAUUUAUUGAUUUUUAUAGAUGUGAAAGCUUUAUGUAUAUAUACAUACCAACUGUAAAAUUAAACUUGGAUAGGAGUUAAAACUUGCUACACGACCAUUUUGUUACCUCAAAAAUAAUAUACUGGUUUUCAGUUUAUUUUUAUAUAGUUACAAUAACUGUUAAUUCUCAAAUAAAUUCUCAAAAGAUCCUAAAAGGAAACUUCAUAGCAAUCACUCAAGAUAAAUACACAAUACAUAUACUUGAACAAAGAUAAGUGAUUUCUGCCAUUUUUAUUUUGUACUCCAUAUUUAUCAAUU